rnacentral:rRNA from 2 species
UUGGUGAACCUGCGGAAGGAUCA